AAAGGAUCAGUGAUGUUUAUAUUGAAGAAACUGCGUUAUCUAUCUGUUAAUUCCUUUUAUUAGGAACUGAUGACAAAAUAUUCUUCCUGAGAUCCUCU